UUGUGGUUUCCUGAUAAAUUAAGAUGACAUAGGCAGUAGCACAGGGUUUGCUUCAUUACAUUAUUGUGAAAUUUGGACUCAAAUAGAAUGAGGCAAACCCACAAGUUAAAGUGUUUUUAAAGUGGCUCAAUAAUCACUUUGAAAACAGAACACCCUUUCAGUCAGCAUGACGGGAACUUUGAUCAACAAAUACCCAUGAACCACAACCCAUCUUUUGUGAACCAGUAGUACAAGCUCAUCCUACAAGUGUCAUUUGGGCCAGACCAAGGCUGCUCUCACGGAGAACCCAGACCACAGCUUGGAAACCAUUCAUCUACAUUUGAAGUCACAUGACUUCAAAUGACUCCUCUAGGGACCGCCUGCCGUGCUGGGGUGUCAGCUCUUCCUCUGAAUUCCCAAUCCACUUCUUGAUAACUACUGUUUCUAAUAAGAGGGGAAGAAGGUCAUGUGGGAAUCAGUUAAGUCAUUUGUGGGUAGAAGACAAGCACCAGCUUUGCAGGAAACCCUCCAGCCUCCUCCAGGUACACCCUGACGAUCUCAGAACUGAUCAGGUAAAGCCAGCUCUGAGAUAGACCCUUCUGUGGCCUGUCGGGAGAGCAGAGCAAGAAGAGCAGAAUCCAGGCAAACCUGUUAUCUGGACUGGCAGGAAUGGGAAGAAGCAUUUCCAGAUCCCAGCUGAACAACCAAACCAUCACCUAUGUUCAAAGGGCUUCCUAUUGAAUGCAUUUGAAAAUGAUUUGCAAACUUUAAACAAUGUCUUUAGUUUAAAAGCACUAAAUAUUUUUUAAAAAGUCAGUAGAUUCUCCUUUAGCACCUCCUCACCCUCACCAUUCUUUUCUUUCUCAGCACAAUGGCAUUACUGUUCUAAGCACUCAAUAGUAUUCAAUAUCUUAGUAUUCAAUAUCAAUAGUAUUCAAUAUCAAUUCACACUUUUAAGAAAAUCUUAGACAAAAGAAAAAAGUUUAUUUGUAAGGUGAGUUAACCUUUGUUUUUAAAAAAUGGGUUGGGUCAUAUAUAAACCUUACAAAAGGUUAAUGCAUAGCACACAAAUAUAGUUCAAUUUCCUUUUUAUGUGAUUAAAGAAACUUAUCUACAGAGUUGUCUAUGACAUCUACAAAGGAGGUGAUGAUAAGGAUAAUACAGCUCAUGCUGUUCAAUGGUUCCUUAAAUUAAAGAACAUGGGAUACAUUAGUGUGAUUUCUUUUUCCUCUUUCAAGUUCUGUAUUUACCACUCCAUGCCCUCCAGGUUAGCUGACUUUAGAGCUCUGGAAUAAGGACUAGUUGAAUUUGCUGCAAUAUUUUAAUAUGCCUAGCACAGGGGCCAAAGGAAAACUUCCCUUCCAUUCUCUAAAGGUUCACUGAAAAUCAGCUGGCAAUAGGCAGAUUAGUAGGGAAAAUGGCAUACCAAUUACUAGUAUCCACGAGAGGGAAUCACAGAGUGAUUGCCUCAUACCCCGUGGGGUAGAGAUGUUUAUAUACCCUGCAUCUUGAGGGAAGGGGAAAUGGAGACAUUUAGGUGAUUUUAUAUGGGGCAGGAAACAAUUUUUAGGGGAAUUCACUAGGUGUGAAGAACAUACAAUAGCCUGGGACAAAGUCUGUUGGGCCUGCAGAGUGGACAAUGGUUUGUGACAGAGCCUGUCCAGGAGUGUUGACAGAUUUCAGUCUUCCUUCCUGUGAUAGGAGAUGAGUUAAUGGAAACUCAGGGAAGAAACUAAGGUAAUUGUUUUUUUUUUUUUUUUUUUUUUUUUUUUCUUUGGUGGGUCCAGACCUUUGGCAGAUAAGGAAACUUCAGAGAACAAAUUUAUCCUGUGCUUUCGGAGACAGGAAGGCGAGGAGGUCAGGGAGACCUUGAGGCUGCCUCUGUUCAGCAUAUCAAAGUGCUAUAUUUAAGAGUAUCACUUUCUAAGCCCAAUACUAGAAACAUGAACAUGUUAACAAUUAAUUUAAAGGGGAGAGAGAGAGAUGAACUGAGUGAAGUGCAUUGUAAUCCUUCUUAAGGUUAAACUCAUGAUAAUCGGUUCUCAGGCGAUUCUGCUCACCCUCCAAGUGUCAGGGAGACGUCUUUACUGCUCUUCCUGAGAGAACUUAGAGAUACUGUGGCAGGGCAGGAAGCUAGAAGCAGAUAGCAAUGUGGACAAUCUGACUUUGUUGGGAAAUGACUAACCUGAAUACAAUGGAGUUCAACAUCUGCAGAUAGUUUCUGGUUGUUGGCUUUUAUCGGUUUUUAUAUCCAUGUGGAGUGGUGGGGCUGUGAUUUAGAAACCUGAUGGACUGCAAAUUAUAUUUUUCACCUUUUAGUUUAAGGAUUGAAUAUGACACCAUUGGGUGGAAGAGCACAUCAGUUGGAUUUAACUUUUUUUUUUUUUAAUGUGACUGAGAGAAAGUGCAUCAGCUGUAUUUUGUAUUUAUUCAGGCUUCAUAGUGCUGAUUCAGGAACAAGUAUCUUUGUUUUAUGUCAAAUUCUGGGUCUUUUUCAGCAGAAAUGAAUCAAAGAGAAUCAGAGAAAGUGAGUUCACUUUUUUAAAGGAAACAGGAGAAUCUGGUGUCAGAGCUCUUAGUACAGUUUCAUGUUGAUGAGAGCUGUAGCUGCUUCCUAGAAUUCUCAGGGGUUAAUUACAACCAGAUUUGUUUUUGUGGCAUUCACAUCCCAUCCAUUUGUCCAAUGCUCAUCCACUCUUCCAACUUCUCCAUCUCCAUGGACAUCAUUUCUUUUUCCCAACGAUAGCCACACAGGAAUACAAUAGACUCAACUUAGAAACAUCAAAACAGUCAAAGCAGUCUUUCUGAAAACAAGGCCCUACAUCCCUUUGCUUUCCCUGAAAACUCCCUGAAUGAUGUUUUUCCUAGGUUGAGCUCUUCAGGAUCCAUAUUCUUAGACACUGAGCCAAAAAUAAUGGGCUUGCCUUUCCCUAUGUGGGACCUUGCCCUAUGACCUAAGCUGCCCACACAACCACUGAGCAAUAAUCCUGUUGGCCUCUUAGAGGGAAAUGAUGAAAACAAGAAAUCGUCCCUCCAACUUGAGGGUUUCUUUUUCCCAUAAGUCUUAAAGUUAAUGAGAGCAGUAGGAAUGCCUCGUGGCUUUAGUGUAAAUAUAAAAACUAUUAAUUGUAACAAUAGAGAAGAAUUCAUAAUUCAUAAUCAUUUCCAUCUUUCAUGUCGACUAUUUCAGGGUUUGGAAAAAAAUUUGCAUUGAUUAUUUUCCCUGUAGACUAAAUUAUCCACCAGUAUUAUAUAUCACUUAAUUAACAGUAGUCAGAAUUGUAUGUUCAGCAUAAACACCAAAGUAUAUAAAUGUGAAUAUUUCUACAAAUACAGUGGUUAAAAAGGUAAUUUUGUUCACAUGAAUCAAUGAGUUUCAGAAGUAAAGGUGGCAAUUCAAACAAACUCUGCUAAAACCCUCCCCUUUGUGCCUCUUCAACAAUCAAGAAUCAAGGCUAUAAUUCUUAAUACCUGCAUGUUCUUUGGGAAGUUACUUAACUUUUAUUUCUUCGGUUUUCUCAUCUGUGAAAUGGAGCUACUGGUUUCUACUGCAUAGAGGUAUUAUGAGAAGUACAAGUAUUAGAACAAUGCCUACAGUAUGGCAAGAGUUCAAUGCUAGCUAUCAUGUUUAUUUAAACUUCCUAAUUCACAUUGUAACUUCUGUGCCUAAAAUGAAGAUCCAGGAAUAAAGAAAUCUCUGAAACAAUUUCUUUACUUCAGCACCAUUGGCAUUUGGGGCUGAAUAACUUUUGCUACGGGGGCACCUUUUUGUGCAUUGCAGAUGUUUAGCAGCCUCUGCUCAGCAGGUGCCAGGAGCAUCUCCCCAUUUCCGUCAUGACAACCCUAUAUGUCUUCAGACAUAGCCAAAUGUCCUCUGGGAGAAUGAGGGAAGGGACAGAGGCAAAACUGCCCCUGACAAGGAGUCUAGAAUAUUCAAAAAUUUAAAACAUAUGUCUAAAGCAGAUUUGCUUGAUCAAUGGCAUUGCCCAAACAUUGCCUAGAGAGAUUCAGCAUCUAUUUCUUUUUUUAAAAAAAAAUAAUUUCUGAUAGGAUAAUUUAGUUACAAUUUCGGGGGAAAAGGUGUAAUAGGAAAACAAAAGGGAAAGAAGGGAGAGAGAAAGGAAGAGAAAACAAAAGGGAAGGAAGAAAAGGAGAAGGAAAAAGGAAGGAAGAAAAAAGAAAGACACUUAAUUAUACAAGAAGAAUUCUCCAACACUUAACUAGAGACCAGGUCCUCUCUUCCUGCAGGCUACAACAAUUUCCAGGGUUUUUUUUUUUUUUUUUAGCUAAUGCAUAGUAACUGAAAUCUUUCUCUACAAUGCAUUUGCCUUAAAAGAUUAAGGAAAAUCCCAUUAGAUGGUUGGUGGCCUGUGUUUUGUUAUGUAGGACACGUGGGCU
rnacentral:lncRNA from 1 species